rnacentral:rRNA from 1 species
AGUGAACGCUGGCGGUAGGCCUAACACAUGCAAGUCGAACGGCAGCACAGUAAGAGCUUGCUCUUACGGGUGGCGAGUGGCGGACGGGUGAGGAAUACAUCGGAAUCUACUUUUUCGUGGGGGAUAACGUAGGGAAACUUACGCUAAUACCGCAUACGACCUACGGGUGAAAGCAGGGGAUCUUCGGACCUUGCGCGAUUGAAUGAGCCGAUGUCGGAUUAGCUAGUUGGCGGGGUAAAGGCCCACCAAGGCGACGAUCCGUAGCUGGUCUGAGAGGAUGAUCAGCCACACUGGAACUGAGACACGGUCCAGACUCCUACGGGAGGCAGAAGUGGGGAAUAUUGGACAAUGGGCGCAAGCCUGAUCCAGCCAUACCGCGUGGGUGAAGAAGGCCUUCGGGUUGUAAAGAACUUUUGUUGGGAAAGAAAAGCAGCAGGUUAAUACCCCGCUGUUCUGACGGUACCCAAAGAAUAAGCACCGGCUAACUUAGUG